rnacentral:rRNA from 1 species
GAUGAACGCUGGCGGCGUGCCUAAUACAUGCAAGUCGAGCGAAUGGAUUAAGAGCUUGCUCUUAUGAAGUUAGCGGCGGACGGGUGAGUAACACGUGGGUAACCUGCCCAUAAGACUGGGAUAACUCCGGGAAACCGGGGCUAAUACCGGAUAAUAUUUUGAACUGCAUGGUUCAACAUUGAAAGGCGGCUUCGGCUGUCACUUAUGGAUGGACCCGCGUCGCAUUAGCUAGUUGGUGAGGUAACGGCUCGCCAAGGCAACGAUGCGUAGCCGACCUGAGAGGGUGAUCGGCCACACUGGGACUGAGACACGGCCCAGACUCCUACGGGAGGCAGCAGUAGGGAAUCUUCCGCAAUGGACGAAAGUCUGACGGAGCAACGCCGCGUGAGUGAUGAAGGCUUUCGGGUCGUAAAACUCUGUUGUUAGGGAAGAACAAGUGCUAGUUGAAUAAGCUGGCACCUUGACGGUACCUAACCAGAAAGCCACGGCUAACUACGUGCCAGCAGCCGCGGUAA